GUUGGAUGGUGAGCCACCCAGGACUUGGAAACAAGAAAAACAUCCCUACUAGGUUUAUGCUUGAUGUUUUAGCAAGGCUGCCUCACAGAUGAUGCUGGAUGUUUCACGUUCCUAACUGGUGCCUGGCUUUCUCAUCCCAGAGCACUUGGAGAUGAAGUCCAGCAUCAACACAGCUCCGCAAAGCCUGCGCCGUCAGAUCCCAGCUGCCGCUUGCCUUCGGACCUCUGCUUAGUUC